rnacentral:rRNA from 1 species
AUUGAACGCUGGCGGCAGGCCUAACACAUGCAAGUCGAGCGGAUGAAGGGAGCUUGCUCCUGGAUUCAGCGGCGGACGGGUGAGUAAUGCCUAGGUAUCUGCCUGGUCUUGGGGGAUAACGUCCGGUAACGGGCGCUAAUACCGCAUACGUCCUGAUGGUGAAAGUGGGGGUUCUUCGGACCUCACGCUUUCAGAUGAUCCUAGGUCGGAUUUGCUAGUUGGUGGGGUAAAGGCCUACCAAGGCGACGAUCCGUAACUGGUGUGAGAGGAUGAUCAGUCACACUGGAACUGAGACACGGUCCAGACUCCUACGGGAGGCAGCAGUGGGGAAUAUUGGGCAAUGGGCGAAAGCCUGAUCCAGCCAGGCCGCGUGUGUGAAGAAGGUCUUCGGAUUGUAAAGCACUUUAAGUAGGGAGGAAGGGCAGUAAGAUAAUACCUUGAUGUUUUGACGUUACCAAAAGAAAAAGCACCGGCUAACUACGUG